AUGAAGGGGACACUUCUUGUGCUGGGCUUGCUGGUGACUGGAGAGCUGAGCUUCCACACAACAGAAGCAUGUGUUCCUUACUUCAAAGGCUAUACAAGUGUUGUCUCUGGAUUAAGGUUUUUGAUGCAUCAAGAACUCCAGGCAUUCAAUGCUACUGCAGGAGAAAAGGUGGCCUUUGAAAAAAAUCCAGGACUGCUACAAAGAGGAAGGAUUAAGAACCGUAUUUCUGGAACCCAAAAUUAUGGAAGCCAUGGUCUCCAGCCAAGAAUGCCAGGCAUUUUAUACUACUGAAAACAUAUUGAACAUUUUCGACCUUCUAGCUGGUUAAUUAGAAGAAUAG
rnacentral:lncRNA from 1 species